rnacentral:rRNA from 1 species
GGCGGACGGGUGAGUAACACGUGGGUAACCUGCCUGUAAGACUUGGAUAACUUCCGGAAACCGGAGCUAAUACCGGAUAGUUCCUUGAACCGCAUGGUUCAAGGUUGGAAGACGGUUUCGGCUGUCACUUACAGAUGGACCCGCGGCGCAUAGCUAGUUGGUGAGGUAACGGCUCACCAAGGCGACGAUGCGUAGCCGACCUGAGAGGGUGAUCGGCCACACUGGGACUGAGACACGGCCCAGACUCCUACGGGAGGCAGCAGUAGGGAAUCUUCCGCAAUGGACGAAAGUCUGACGGAGCAACGCCGCGUGAGUGAUGAAGGUUUUCGGAUCGUAAAGCUCUGUUGUUAGGGAAGAACAAGUGCAAGAGUAACUGCUUGCACCUUGACGGUACCUAACCAGAAAGCCACGGCUAACUACGUGCCAGCAGCCGCGGUAAUACGUAGGUGGCCAGCGUUGUCCGGAAUUAUUGGGCGUAAAGGGCUCGCCGGCGGUUUCUUAAGUCUGAUGUGAAAGCCCCCGGCUCAACCGGGGAGGGUCAUUGGAAACUGGGAAACUUGAGUGCAGAAGAGGAGAGUGGAAUUCCACGUGUAGCGGUGAAAUGCGUAGAGAUGUGGAGGAACACCAGUGGCGAAGGCGACUCUCUGGUCUGUAACUGACGCUGAGGAGCGAAAGCGUGGGGAGCGAACAGGAUUAGAUACCCUGGUAGUCCACGCCGUAAACGAUGAGUGCUAAGUGUUAGGGGGUUUCCGCCCCUUAGUGCUGCAGCUAACGCAUUAAGCACUCCGCCUGGGGAGUACGGUCGCAAGACUGAAACUCAAAGGAAUUGACGGGGGCCCGCACAAGCGGUGGAGCAUGUGGUUUAAUUCGAAGCAACGCGAAGAACCUUACCAGGUCUUGACAUCCUCUGACAACCCUAGAGAUAGGGCUUUCCCUUCGGGGACAGAGUGA